rnacentral:tRNA from 1 species
GCCAGUAUGGUAUAGUGGUUUGAAUGUUGGACUAUGGCUCAGGAGACCAGGGUUCAAUUCCCUGCUUAAGCA